rnacentral:lncRNA from 1 species
ACGUUCUAGGUUACUGCUUCGAAUUCAUGCGUCGAGUUAAAAGUUUGUAAAAUGCCCUUACAUUGCUUUGGCGAGGUUUAUCGUAUCGUGAAGUUCUUUGAGGUGGCUGCUCACAUUUGAUCCAGUCCAGAAGGAGGAAUGUGGAGGUGGCAACAGCGGCCACGGCGGCGGUGCCCAAUGCCUAGGGCCCGGAUUAAACAGAGCCCGACCCAUUUGAUUCAUAUGGUUCAUUUGAUUAACCGGAAAAUGAAAACUAAUCGACUCCGGAAACUAGUAAACAGAAGCACCAGUAAAAAAUAAUCCCAAAUAUUACAAAUGAUUUCAGCCCUCGAUGUUUAUGAAUGAAGGGUAAGAAUGACAAAUCAUCGGACAAUUUUUAAUAAAUGCUGCAAAUUUCCUACAAUAUUAUAGGACUCUCGUAUAUGAUUGUAAAUGAGUCGAGCCGGUUAGUGAACUCGUUGAGCCAGCUCGACAAGAGCUCGAGAUCAAACUCAAAUUGUUUGAGCCGACGAACUCGAGUUCGAGUUCAUCCUUAGCACAAGUUCGCGAGCCGGCUCGCUAGCUGUUUUCUAUUUUUUAUUUAUAUUUUCCUAAUAUAAAUAUAACUAUAAUAUAAUAAUAAAAUAUAUAAUAGUAAUUCAACAAUACAUACGUAUAAAAAAAAUCAACUUAAGUUUUAUUUUUAGUUCUAUAACUUAUUUUAUUAAGUAAUUUAUAAUAAAAAAAUAAUUUUAAUACUAUGUAAAAAUUGAAAAAUUUAAAAAAAAAAAUACUUGAGUUUCAUUUAAGUGGAAUUCUUGGAUCGGCCCACUUAGGUCGAAACUAAACUUUGGGUCUAUCCAUUAAAUCUAAAUGCAUUAUAAUAGCUUCGUUGAGCCACUUACACUAGUUGACUUGGUUUGGACCCAUUAAAUAUAUGUGAGUGUAUAUACAAUUGUGUAUUAAUAUUUGAUUUUUUUAUUUUUAAAAGACGAAAGAUUUGAAACUACUGAACCUAAAGUCUACUGACCAUGUAUAACCAGCAAACACUUGACAGCAAUGAUAACAUGUAAAAUCAGAAUACGACAGAGAGAAGCAAUUUUUUUUUUUUUUGUUUUACUUGUCCAGGGAAACAAAUAGAUCGGGUGAUAGAAAUACGGAUCAGGAAAAUGAUGUACCUCUUUUUCCUUCAAUAAAGCUGCAUAAUUAACUGAUAGUGCUUUUAUUUCCGCCUCAGAUUCCUGAAGUCUCUUAAUCUCUAUCUCGUAUUGUUCCAUCUGCAAAACAAAAUAAAUAUUCUGACGCACAGUUGUAAACUAAGUAAAACUAGAAGAGGUAGUAAACAAUAAUCUACCAUACAUCAUUUGAUUCAAGAUCGUUCAACAUUUUUCUUGCAAUUUAUUUAUAACCAUCCAUCCGAAACACACUAUCCAGAAUAAACUAACAUGCUCUUUUUUACCCAAAUAACCGACAGUUAAUCCAGUUAGCCAUCUUCAGACACAAAUACAUGAAUGGUUUAUCACAAGACACUGUUAAGCCAGAAUAUUCAUCUGCCUUCCCGGCAAAUUCUCGAACAUCGCACAAACCACCACCAAUAACCUAAAUCCAUAAAUGCAACUUCCCAACCCCCAUCAACACCAGUGAAAAAAAAAACCUCAAUAAAACCUAAUCGAUUCGCAAUUAAAUCCUGUCAAUUUCUGAUUGACGAAGUUAUGAACGAAUUUAGAUGUUAAAAUAUCAUGCAAGUUCAUCUCCUCUCAAUUAAACACAAAAACUAUAACCAGGCAGGGAAAACGAAAAAUUAAAGAAAUAAACAGUAAGAUCAAAUCAAUUAAACAAAAAUAAGUCAUAAUAUACCUCAUGAUUAGAAGGGGAAUCAAAGCCAUUGACGACUGGCGAAUGCGUCGGCGUAUUCGUACGACUAAAACUUCGAGAAAUUCUCCGCUCAGAAACUGAAUUCCCGUUGUUCAAUCGAUCGCGCGGCGGAGGAGUAUACAUUGACAGCUCUUCAUCGUCUUCGUCAUCGUAGACAUCGAGUGCGAUUUUACUCAGACUCUCCUUUAGCUACCGAAUUCCACAUCGGCAUAGCGAUUUACCUUCAAGAACACACUUCUCAGCCCCGACGAAAUCUGCAAGUCGCAAACCAAAUCAAUUAUUUACCCUGCAGUUUCAAUUCAUCAUUUUCCAAAAAAAAAAAAAAAAAAAAAAAAAAGAAGAGAAAUUGCAAAUGAAGAAACAAGUAGUCUUGAAUCUCUAGGAUUCAUACCGAUUUGAACAUGGAGUUUUCACAUCAAAAAGAAAACCCUUUGGAGGCCUUCGACGAAGUCAGAUCUUAAAUUUCAGAUGGUAUUAACGCAAUUAAAAAAAAAGUGAGUCGUCCUUCUAGCUUAUGCCGGCACCGUAGCUGGUAUCUCAGUUGGUUGGCGGUGCCGGAGGAUAAGAUUCGGCUGGUUUUGUCGCCGCCUCGGGAGGUGGGAAGAGACGGUGGUGAAAGAACGGAGACGGCGGUCCCUGUUAAGCUGGGUUGGUGAAGAAGAAGGAAUAUAAUUAAGAAAUUUUAAAUUUUGCAAUUUGAUACAAUUUUUUUGAUUAUUUCUAUUUAAAAUAUAUGUUUAUUGAAAAACAAAUUUCAGAGGACAUUUGAGGUUUUUCAAGUGUAAAAAACAAUAACUAGCUGCACUGAUCGCGCGUGCAUCAUACGAUUUGGAGAUAAGGGGGCCGGUGGCUUAGACUUUGUGACAUAGGGGGUAAAUGCUAAUUGUUUUAACAUAGUUUCUGGUAAUUAGAGGUUUCACAGGGGUAGCGCUUGCUAAAAGCUCAAUAAAAACAUGAUUUUCUUACCUGGAAAUCACGAAAUUUGUCGGAUGAUAUAUAUUUUUUAUUUUUUAUAUAAUAAAUAAAUAGUUAGAGAAGUGGGCUACCAGUUGUAUAGGGUUAGAAUAUAAGUCCCAGUAAUUAAUGGGCCGAUAUCUACAUGACACUAAAAGGCGAAAUCUCUCGCCUCCAGGCCCCAUUCCUUGGUCCGACAAGGAUAUUUCUAGUCCAUCUAGUUUCUCACAUACCUUCAUUCUAUAUUUUUAAAAUAUUUUAAUUCCCUUAUUCAUGUUAGAAUAAAACGCAAUUAAGGUCAAUUUCAUAACUGAAAUGAUUUGUGCAGGCAUAAAUUAAACAUUCAGGCACAUUUUUUACCAUUUCUCAAAAACCAAAAGGUAAAAAACUCAAAAAACUCUCUCAACCCUCUCGAUUUUCUUUCGCAAAGCCCGUGCAAAUCGUCAACAGAUCGGAGGUAAUUUUUACGUUUUUACGAUCCUCUUGUUAUGUAGAUUACGAAUCCGAAAAAAAAAAACGAAAAAAAUCGAGCUUAGCAACACUCGGUGUGAAUUUAACACGAGCGGAGCCACGCUCGACUUUUUUCGUCUCUCUAUUCGGAAUCAUAAUCGACAUAACAAGAGGAUCGUAAAAACGUAAAAAUUACCUCCGAUCUGUUGACGAUUUGCACGGGCUUUGCGAANNNNNNNNNNNNNNNNNNNNNNNNNNNNNNNNNNNNNNNNNNNNNNNNNNNNNNNNNNNNNNNNNNNNNNNNNNNNNNNNNNNNNNNNNNNNNNNNNNNNAGGAAAAUUUAUAUUUGAAGGGAAAUUAUAAUUCCCAAACAUGAAGAUUUUUUUUUUGGCAAUUUGACCUUUCUCCAAGGGUUGGCUCUAAAAAUUUGUCCUUUUGAAAAUGGUGGGGGAUAUACGCCGGGGCAAAUUAAAAAAUCAGGCACUUUUUUUUUCAUGGUUUUUUACCUUUUUACCAUAACUAUUUACCUUUUGUACUAUUCCUACCAAAUCCUAUAAAAAAAGAAAACUCAACAUUCAAAGUGAAAAAUUUCAGAUAUUCAACAAUUUUUGCGAUGGAUCCAAACAACUUAGACCCGAAUGUAAGUUUUUCGUUUUUUUCCCGAAAAUUCAUCUACUCGUGUGAAUUUACGUGAGCACUUGCCAAGUGCUCGCGUAAAUUCACACGAGCUCAAGAAUAAAAAAAUUGUUCUUGAGCUCGUGUGAAUUUACGCGAGCACUUGGCAAGUGCUCACGUAAAUUCACACGAGUAGAUGAAUUUUCGGGAAAAAAACGAAAAACUUACAUUCGGGUCUAAGUUGUUUGGAUCCAUCGCAAAAAUUGUUGAAUAUCUGAAAUUUUUCACUUUGAAUGUUGAGUUUUCUUUUUUUAUAGGAUUUGGUAGGAAUAGUACAAAAGGUAAAUAGUUAUGGUAAAAAGGUAAAAAACCAUGGUAAAAAAGUGCCUGAAUGUUUAAUUUGGCCUGCGUAUAUCACCACCCAUUUCAUAAGGACAAAUUUUAAAGCGAACCCUUGAGGUAAGGUCAAAUUGCCAAAAAAAAAUCUUCAUGUUUGGGUAUUAUAAUUACCCUUCAAAUAUAAAUUUUCUUAGACUUUCACCUUUGCAGUGUCAAAUUUAGUGGAAUCUUAUAGAGCAUGUGGAAUAUUUUCCAAUUGUACUCGUUUUACCUCAUUGCAGCUCCACAUUUUGAAACAAAGAUGAUUAUAAAAAAAAAACUUUUGGCUUUGUAAAUAUAAGAUUGUGGUGCAACUGAAACUAUCUUUUUGCACAAAAUGAGUAGAAACUAGAGAACAUUCCACGGAAUCUAGAAGAUUCUAUUGAAUUUGACACUGCAAUGACGGACAUGUAAGAAAAUUCAUUGUUGAUGGGAUGAUUGUAAUUACCCAGACAUGAAGAGUUUUUUCGUAAUUUGACCUUUAACUUAGUAAUUUACCCUAGUUUAAGAACUAUAAUGAGAUAAAAAACAUCUUACGCUCAUUAAUUGCGUUAAUAUAUUUCUUAAACCGGUCAGUAGCAAUAGGCCCUUCAAACUGCUAAGAAAUAGAAUUAAGUACACCCCUAAAAUUCAUCCGCUUUCCCUUAAAAUUCGACACAAAAUUUCACUCUGAACUUAACCUUAUUCUAUAUUCACAAUCAAGAAGACAUAUUGGAGAGUUUCUUAUAAGUUUAUACAGCAAGUCUAGUGAUACGAAAAACAACUUAUAUACAAGAACAAAUAUACGUAGGCAAAAAUGAUCAAAUAUUACAUCAUUCUCUUUGCAGAUUUAAUGCCAUUUCGUAUCCCGUUUUGGCGUGAAAAUUCUACUUCUGAUAUUUGCAGGGUUUUUUCUAUUUCAGCAAAUCUUGCCGUUUUCCGUUUUCUCCACUCCACGUCAUUUCUUCUGGCGAAAUUAACCGAAACCAAGAAAAAGAAGUCCAUUGUCUGCACUUGUGAGUAGUGCAAUGCAACUCAUUUAGGUUUCACCAAAUAGGAUGCCCAUAUUUCAUCUGUAGGGGGUGGCGGUUGCACCCAGUGCCCUGGUAUACGGCUGCAUCCAAGUUCCGUCAAUUAAAAAAAACGAGAUAAUUUUUUAAACAGGAUCAUAUAUCAAUAAUAAACAUUAGAGAAUUUACAUUGUUACUAUAAAAAAUAAAAUGUAUAAACUGAUUAAUUUCAUCAGGAUUUCUAAAUAUGUUAGAUUGGUCUCACAAACCUUCCUCUGGGUCUUAGAUAUGCGUCCCACGUUCUUCGUACCUGCAAUAAAGGUCAAAGUUACACAAGAGCGAUUAUAAGUAAGGCAAAGCAAAACAAAAAAUACGUCGAAUUAAAUAUGCUUAAAUACCUCAAUGAGUGUGCCCAUAUCAGUAUUACUGCCGUGAUAAUAAUGGUAAAAUUCCAUGGGCAAAUUACAGACAGAAUCGUAAGCACUGCCAGUUGUGUCGAUUUUUCUUGAUUCUUUAGUGGCAACCAAUUUCGAAUCUUUUUCAUUUGCAGUCUCGUUUUUCUGGUCUUGAUUUUUAAUGUGUUGGAAAUUACUCAAGCCCAGUUCUUCUGAGUCUGGUGCAUGGCUAUUGACGUGUUUUCUCGAUUCCUCAGCAUUAGCAAUAGCAUCUUUAGCGGCAUCUGUAUCAGCUGCAGCCAUUGAUUGACGUUCCUCUUCUUCAACUGCAGCUCUAACUUGUUCGAGAAACUUGUCAUCCUCUUCUGGAAAGAAAUGACCUGCAUAUUGUCAUAUCAAAAGGUUAGAUAAGUUGUUUUCUCUUUUCUUUUAUAAUACCGAGUAAUUGCAGAUUUAAUGGCUCAGUUCCUUUUCUAAUUAAUGGCUCAGUUCCUUUUCUAAUUAUACUAAAAGGUGGAUUAAAUCUAUGGAAUGGAUAUCGAUUUUUUGAACCUUGUUUUUUCAAUUUCUCUAUUCUGAACGAGCGCAAUUCCUGCAGCUUUUCGACGAUUAAAACCAGCUCGAGCUGAAAAUGCGAGAUUUUUAUGGUUAUGAUUUAGAAGCUUCAGACAGAAACGAACUAAGGAAGAAAAGAAGAGAAAUUAUAAACAAAAAGUCGUGAUUUGGAUAAGCUCUCACCUCGGAUUCCAGCCGUUUCUUUUCUUCUUUUGCCUUAACCUUGGCUAUUUCCUUCAUCUUUUCUACCUGCAAAAUCAUAAUGCCUCUUUAUUAUGCGAAAGUAAAAAGCAGAUUAAGACAGUAAAAAAGAAGCACUUACUUGCCUCGUCAAUUUUAUUAUGUCAACAAUUGCGUAGAGAAUACGUUCUUAUAUGCAGAACAUUGUAUACAUGCAUAAAAAGACCAAUAGAUUCGAAACAUACAAAGAAAGUAUUCCACCAAUAGAGAAAAAUACAAAGAAAGUAUUACAGACCAAAGUCAUGUAACGAGAAAUCUUGAGCUCACUCAUACCAUAAAAAUCUAACGUUUUCACUGUUCUCAUGAAAUCAAGAGUGUAAAGCUGGUUUACAAAAAGUUAAGCUCGUAAGUUUUGUGUCUGACUCAGUUUAGAAAUCAUCCCUCUUCCACACCAUUAUUAGGAUACGGUAUGCUUGUUAAAGCCCAUAAAUAGCUCCCAAUUUUACCAACAUUUCUUAUUAACACCAACCCUCUUCAGGCAAGCCACAUGGCAUGCCCACAAUUCGUUCUCGAAGCUCCUCCCACAGAACAUAAAUUACAUAGUAAAGACAGAACAUAGCUUGCAAUGUUUUUACCUUGCGUUGUGCAGCAUCUUUGGCCACCUCCCGAGCCCUCCACUCAUCAGCUUCUUUAUCCAAUCGAUCAAAUUGCUCGCGCUCCUGAAAAUAAUAAAAAUAAAUAGCAAAUCACAAAUAUAAAUAUACAGACGAAAGAUUCAACUAAGGCACAAAUCUUGAAAAUGUUCUAAAUAUGUGAUUUGCUACCUUUGCUAAAUUCUGAGCUAUUCGCCUUCUCUUCCUUCUUCGCCAAAGCUUAUUUCGUUUAUACUUUUCCAUUUUAUCAGCUAACCUUUUUACAGCAGAUUUUUCCUCCCACGGGCUAUUCUCAUCCGUGACAACCCUGUACAGCUCCAGCUGAUAUCUUAGUUUCGACAUUACGGCAUUUGCAGCAUUCAGCGAUAGAGAUUCUUGAAAGUCGAGUUUGAUUUUAUUUUCCUUCAUAAACUUAGAGAACCUAUCAAUUGAUAUGUCGGCAUCCCCAAUGUGGCCUUCGGUAGUUCUUUCGCUUUCUUUCAUCCGAGUUAACAUCUUUUGUUCUUUUUGCCUGUUCAGUUCGACUUGAUUAAAACCAAUAAACAAAGCAAAUCAGAAUAUUUUUAAAAAAAUAAAUAAAACAUAAAAUUGAGCAAAUUUGUAUAUCAGAUUGAGCUUAAUUCAAGUAUCUAAUAAUCGUAUAAAACAUAAAGCUAAUUGAACUCCACAAAAAAUUCAAUUAGGAACAGAAAAUUCGCCUUUGUGGUUCCGAAAAUCAAAUCAAACUGAAAUUAAAUUCCAAACUCGACAAACAGCUAAACCAAAUCAAAUAACCAGUUUCUUCUACCCUACCAAAAUUUAAAAAAAAAAAAAAAAAAAAAAACAGGGUAUCAAAUUUAAAUUACACGUUCUAGGUUACUGCUUCGAAUUCACGGGUCGAGUUAAAAGUUUGUAAAAUGCCCUUACAUUGCUUUAGCGAGGUUUAUAGUAUCGUGAAGUUCUUUGAGGUGGCUGCUAACAUUUGAUCCAGUCCAGAAGGAGGAAUGUGGAGGUGGCAACGGCGGCCACGGCGGCGGUGCCCAGUGCCUAGGGCCCGGAUUAAACGGAGCCCGACCCAUUUGAUUCAUAUGGUUCAUUUGAUUAA